GAUGAACGCUGGCGGCGUGCCUAAUACAUGCAAGUCGAGCGAACAGACGAGGAGCUUGCUCCUCUGACGUUAGCGGCGGACGGGUGAGUAACACGUGGAUAACCUACCUAUAAGACUGGGAUAACUUCGGGAAACCGGAGCUAAUACCGGAUAAUAUAUUGAACUGCAUGGUUCAAUAGUGAAAGACGGUUUUGCUGUCACUUAUUGAUGGAUCCGCGCCGCAUUAGCUAGUUGGUAAGGUAACGGCUUACCAAGGCAACGAUGCGUAGCCGACCUGAGAGGGUGAUGGGCCACACUGGAACUGAGACACGGUCCAGACUCCUACGGGAGGCAGCAGUAGGGAAUCUUCCGCAAUGGGCGAAAGCCUGACGGAGAAACGCCGCGUGAGUGAGGAAGGUCUUCGGAUCGUAAAACUCUGUUAUUAGGGAAGAACAAAUGUGUAAGUAACUAUGCACGUAGUGACGGUACCUAAUCAGAAAGCCACGGCUAACUACGUG
rnacentral:rRNA from 1 species